GGUCAGGUCCACCCCUCUGUGGCCCCCGAGCCUCGCCGGGUUUGUGUGCGAGCAGCGCCGCCUGCCGGCCGGAGGAGGGUCCGCGGGCCCCCGGCGGCGGCAGCAUCUGUGUGCCGCAGAGCUCUCUCUCUGCUCGGCGCAGAUCUCACAUCACACCGCCGCGUUCAGCACCGAGCGCGGGGGACCGCGAGGACCACGAGGACCGAGCCUAAUGUCUAGCAUCCUCCUUCAUCUUUCCUCAUCUGUCUGGUGCCGUACUGCGGGGUCAGUGUUUGAAUCGUCUUUUAUUGGAAAUGCAAAAUGUUGGAAUUUGAGUUCUGAGCCAGAAGAAAGCUCCUGUAGCCAAAGAAGAAGAAGAAGAUGGAUCCGUGCCAUAAAUAUCAAGGCGGUUCACUAUGUAAUCCAGGGUCAAAGGUCAGGUUAAAGAUGAACAUGAAGAACCUGAAAGAUGGAGACAAAGCUGCAGCACGUUCAGACUCCAUUCAAACCGUCUACAGCUCCUCAAUGUGCCCAGCGGAAAGUGAGUGAUGCACGCCACAGGAUGCCCUAAUAACUGUGUGCAUGAAUGACCA